GCAUCGCCGUUUGACCUCCAUUUCCACUCCAGGCCCUCCCGUCUCUCGACAUUCACCAAAAUACUUGUCUUGUUGUACACCAAUCGAAGGACUUCAUCGGAUAGAGCUCGCCACUCUUGUCUUCUUUCGUUGGGUCAUGGCCCCAACGACUCGUAAUCCUGGACGAGUCCAUGUGCAGCCUAAUUCCUAUCAGCUGCACUAAGGAACUAUGGACAAUGCAGCCAUCGUUUAGCCCGUUAAUGAACCAAGUAGCAAAGGAUUAAGAUAGUGAUUGCGAGGAGGAUAAAGCUAAUAGGGAUUGCAGAGAGGAUUUCACGGGUGUUAUAUUUUUUUAGCUUCAGUGAUUCGUAAAUAUGGUUGAUUGACUAUUUCUUUUCAUCUUAGUUGUAACUUAGUAGGAUUUGUAGGAUCUUGUAUUUAUAAAUUCGAUCCAAGUAUUUGUAAGUGUAAAUUGGCGAUUCUAGGUGUUUAAGAAAUUGAGUUAUUAGUUUUGGAAGCUUGGUGAGUAGUAUGGGAUUGAAUUAGCAUCUAGCUGUAAAUUUUUUUUUUAAAAGAGAAACUUCUUUUGGGGCAGUUAAAAGUGCCCUAUUAAGAAAUCUAUGGAGGUAGUUCCAAGCGCAUCAUCAAUGAAGCUAUUGUAGCACCUUAAAAUGUUGCUAUAGAUGAUUAAACAUGGUUAAGAAAUCACAAUUAACAUGUUGUAGCAGCUCCGUGAAAUGCCUUAAUACAUAUGCUUAUGUGGCAGUUUUGUGUGCCUCUUCAUACACUUUUUGUGGCACGUAUAAGUGCAGCAACACAGAGAUUUAGAGGCGUCAUAAUGUGCCCCAAUAUAUAAUCUGUGCGACACCUAAAAGUGUAGCGAAAAAGAGUUCUUGAGGCGUAUUAAAAUGCCUCAUAACAAGGGCCGCAUUAAACCUAUAGCUGCAUCGAUACACACGGCACUAAGGUGGAGUGCCCCAAUACACAAACUGCCUCAACAGGUCUCUUAUUGAGGUAGUUUUGACUGCCCUAAAAAGUCGUUUUUGUUGUAGUGCCACUAGCAU